CGAUCUUCUCAGAGACAUCUUCAGACCUCUCAGGAUGAGCGCUCAGUUCCCCAAAACUGCCCCCUACUUCAGGCUGAAGGAGAACACUGGCUCAACCGACUCCCGUCCAAAGGAAGAGUGGUGAACAAAGAGAAGUUCCAGCUUGUCUGCAUUCUGAUGAAGGGAGCAGUCUUUCUAGUGGUGUAGCAGGAGCAAUGGGAUGGACAAGGCACACUGGGUCUUCACUGCUCUGGCCAGCAAGUGGCACAUGCAUUUCUGCUCACAG